GGCCGUAAGGCCGGACUUGGUCGUCGCGCCUCUGCUGGGGGACUCGUUGCUUCGGCGGCGAGGUAACCUACGUUACUGUGAAGAAAUUAGAGUGUUUAAAGCAGCGAUCGGCUUGAAUACAUCAGCAUGGAAUAACAAGAUAUGACAUAUGUCUUCUUGUUGGUUUGGGGACAAAUGUAAUGAUUAAUAGGGCCCAGUUGGGGGCAUUAGUAUUCAGUAGUCAGAGGUGAAAUUCUUGGAUUUACUGAAGACUAACUAAUGCGAAAGCAUUUGCCAAGGAUGUUUUCAUUAAUCAAGAACGAAAGUUAGGGGAUCGAAGACGAUCAGAUACCGUCGUAGUCUUAACUAUAAACGAUGCCGACUAAGGAUCGGCAGAAGUCGUUAGCGACUCUGUCGGCACUUUGUGAGAAAUCAAAGUUUUUGGGUUCUGGGGGGAGUAUGGUCGCAAGGCUGAAACUUAAAGGAAUUGACGGAAGGGCACCACCAGGAGUGGAGCCUGCGGCUUAAUUUGACUCAACACGGGAAAACUCACCAGGUCCGGACAUAGUAAGGAUUGACAGAUUGAGAGCUCUUUCUUGAUUCUGUGGGUGGUGGUGCAUGGCCGUUCUUAGUUGGUGGAGCGAUUUGUCUGGUUAAUUCCGAUAACGAACGAGACCUUAACCUGCUAACUAGUUGCAGGUACUUUUGUAUCUGACACUUCUUAGAGGGACUGACUA
rnacentral:rRNA from 1 species